GACGAACGCUGGCGGCGUGCUUAACACAUGCAAGUCGAACGAUGAAGCCUAGCUUGCUAGGUGGAUUCGUGGCGAACGGGUGAGUAAUACGUGAGUAACCUACCUUUAACUCUGGGAUAAGCCUGGGAAACUGGGUCUAAUACCGGAUACGACCAAUCUCCGCAUGGGGUGUUGGUGGAAAGCGUUAUGUAGUGGUUAUAGAUGGGCUCACGGCCUAUCAGCUUGUUGGUGAGGUAACGGCUCACCAAGGCGACGACGGGUAGCCGGCCUGAGAGGGUGACCGGCCACACUGGGACUGAGACACGGCCCAGACUCCUACGGGAGGCAGCAGUGGGGAAUAUUGCACAAUGGGCGCAAGCCUGAUGCAGCGACGCCGCGUGAGGGAUGACGGCCUUCGGGUUGUAAACCUCUGUUAGCAGGGAAGAAGAGAGAUUGACGGUACCUGCAGAGAAAGCGCCGGCUAACUACGUG
rnacentral:rRNA from 1 species